rnacentral:lncRNA from 1 species
UUUUCCCCUUCGGCUGUAUUUUUAUUCAACUUUUUCAUUCUGAACAGUAUUUGGAUUAUCAUUGGUGGUGGCGAUUUUUAACCAGAAGCUUUAUAGCUGUUUAUCUUUUUACGUAUGCAGUUCAUUACUUCUCUGCCAAACUUCAAAUCACAGAAAUUGGACAGUUGGAUUUUUUUCCUGUUUCUGGUUAAUUGCUAAAAUCUACAGUGUGCUGAAGGUGGAGUAAAGUAUUUCCCCAAAGGAUUCCAAGCACAUCUCCCUUGCCCUUGAAUAUCUGUAUAUCUAUAUGAACAUCAAUUGAGAUAUAUAUGUGUGUGCCCCUAAUUACAUAAUUUUAAGCAUAUAUAUAAAAAUGUAAAAUCUCAUUGUCUGGCCUCAGUUUAUAUGACACAAAAUACUGAUUGUAUGGAAGAAAACAGAUUGGGAAACAGAUUUAUUCUAUAUCAUAUUUUCCUGAAAAGCUACCUUAAAAAGAUUUAAAUUAAAGCAAUUAGAGCAAAGGAGGCACAUUUCUUUAAAAAAUUGAAGUUGAGUACCAUACUGGUUUUUCAGAUGAAAUUUUCUUUUCCUUUUUCUCCUUCAUAUUGCUCAGAGCAUCUAAUUCCAUCAGAACUAUUGUCAAAUAAAUUUUAUGUAAAAUAUGUAUUUUUCUAACGGGAGUUGAUUAUACAAACUGUAUUACACCUUUGUAUCUGAGUGAUCAUUUAAAAAUGCAUAUUGGUUUAGCACAUAGAGUUUACGAAAUGCCAGAUAAUGCUCUUAUUCCUCAGUGAAAUCUGCACAUUUCUAGUUGUUGGUUG